rnacentral:rRNA from 1 species
AUACGGAGGGUGCGAGCGUUAUCCGGAUUUAUUAGGUUUAAAGGGUGUGUAGGCGGGAGCCUAAGUCAGUGGUGAAAUCUCACAGCUUAACUGUGAAACUGCCAUUGAAACUGGGUUUCUUGAGUAUAGUUGAGGUAGGCGGAAUGUGUAAUGUAGCGGUGAAAUGCAUAGAUAUUACACUGAACACCGAUUGCGAAGGCAGCUUACUAAGCUAUUACUGACGCUGAUGCACGAAAGCGUGGGUAGCGAACAGGAUUAGAAACCCUAGUAGUCC